UUUCUCUUUUCUCUUGUCAUUUUGUUUCUUGUUCAUGCAAUUUUAUUUCAUUCAACAAUUCGUGUGCGUAAAGUUAAGUUUAUUUUGCGGAAAAACAACAUCGGUGUUUCGGAGUAAAUUAAAAAUCGGGGAAAAUGUAGGAAUUAAGCAAAACAGUUGAAAAAAGCGAAUAAUUGUCUCCGCAUAUUAUCGUACAAAAUUUCUUGUCCCGGGCAAACCAGUUUUCGUAAUAAGUGCACCUUCUGCUAAUCCUUUUUUCACCAGACAAAAGACAACGAAGCAAAGAAGAAAACGCAUUCUACAUCACAUCUAAUUGCACAAAUGUCAGGUGUUGCAAAGUUUUAUUGCAAAUUCAAUAAAAAGUUGUAUUUACGCAAUGAACUCUUCGGUUCGGUCUAUCUCCUACCGCGACGCAGCUACCUACAACUGUCUGGGCCCCAUUACCAAAUCAAAAUGUGAAGCGCACCUUUACAGAAAAUAUAUUUGCAUAGAAAUGCAUGUAUCGGAACACAGUAUUAAAAUAUUUAUUAAAGUGUAUGAAUACAAUAUCAAUCUUGAGUGGUAAGGCGUAACAGCGCUCCGCUAAAAUACGAGUAGACAGGUAUUUAGUAAAAAAAUGUGAAAACAAAAGCAAAAAAUCCCACCUCAUUGGUGUUAAGACUUUGAGCCUCUUAUUUUUUACAAAAUCUUCGCACUGAUGCUGAGAAUUUAAUGAAACAGCCACCAAUUGCUAGGGCUAAAACAAGUGUUACUUAAGGUUACAAGUGUAGCAGUGGAACGCACAAUGAAAAUGUUAAAGGAGUCAGCAAAAUAACCAAAAGCCUUACAUCUGCUCCUGCACGCGCCUAAAAACAAAAGCAAAUUGGCAUUUAGUUCCAUGAUUCGCAAAACAUCUGAUUGUAAUCCAAUCAAUCGCUUCUACACAUUGUGUGCAUACAAAAAGCCAAUCGAAAUAACUGAAG